AGAUCUGUGCAAUGUAAAUAUUUACAUUGGUUUGUUCAUAAUGCACAGGCUGCUGGUGUGGAAAGGAGAUUCAAAGGCUACACAAGUGUAUUUUGAUGACAUUGUCAACCUUAUCAAGGAGGAAUCAAUACACAGCAAUCUCAUAGAUGCAUAUGCUGAACUGUUGCAUGAACAACAAGAGGUGGUCAACCCAACUUCGGAUGAAGCCUCAUUGAUCUUCACGAGCAUGUGUUUGAAAGUGAUACGAGAGUACCAUCC